ACGCGCAUUCACGACUUCAACUAUAAUUUCUCUUGUGUAUGUUUGGAAGACAAAUAGAGGAAUCGUGCGGUCUAGUUCGUGUUUUGGGAGGAACAAUGGCAGCGAGAAUUUUCGCUGAUUCUUCUUUUUUUUUUUUUUUUUUUUUUUUUUUUUCCGUUCUUCUAAUCUGCUGUUGCAGUGCUAUGAUUACUAUCAUGUUUUUGUCAAGAGUUUUUGGGAGAACGCUAUUUGCUGCAGCUAAAUCAGAAAUAUCUGCUGCGACUGCUGCUUCUGCAGCGAGAAACCCUCUGGAAGAGUUCUUUGAGGCAGAUAGAAGCGCAGAUGAUGACAAACAGGUCUAUGCUGGAAGGCUUCCAAACUACGACUGAAGUCAUGGGAUGAUCUUCAUAAGCUAUGGUAUGUUUUAUUAAAGGAGAAAAACAUGCUGAUGACUCAAUGCCAGAUGAGGUCCUUCGGGAUAGGUAUGAGAGGUGCUUUGCUUCACUCACAAAAUCUAGGGUUUCCUAAUCCGGAGUGGUUCCCAAGUUUCCCCUCCCAAAGAUAGCCUCAGCGAUGUGAGAUGAAGGUAAACUGUUUAAAACUGAUACGCAAAUGGUUUUCCCUUAGCUUAAAUAUGCAUUUAUAAAUGGAUGUGUUGAAAGCAAGUUCAUGCCUUCUACGAGAUAUGGUGCUUUUGCAUAUGUUAGGCAUUUUGUUCAACAGGAUUUACGAAGACCUUCAGAAAAUAUCGAUUGAAUUGUUUAAGUGUCAAGUAAUUGUUUGGUGUUGCUUAGUGCUUCUUGAGUAGAUCGCUUACUCUAAGAAUGAAAUUUUUUACUGUAGGUUACGAACAAUUUGCCAUCAUUCAAGAAUGCUUUCUGACUUGAUUCUCUGGACUUACAUGGUGGGGUAGAAUGUUCUGUGUUAGAAUGGAGCGAGCUGUAGCUCUGCAGAUUUUAGAGGGCACCCUUAAUUUCAUAGGUGCCAGAGAUUGGGAAACAUUUGACUCAUUAGCGCCCUAUUACGUCAACGAAGAACUUGGUCUUUAAGUAGUUUUAUGUUCUGUUACUCAUAACAAAUAAAAGUACUUUUACAAUCUAUCAAGCUGAUGAUAGAGGCAAGAACUCUUUCCAACCGUUGUUCUUUAGAGAAUCCUCUUUUCAGAACAUAACUGCAAAGUCUUUCUGUGGUGAAGUGCAACCCUUCCGUUUGUCGGUAAGACUGAUGUUUCACUACAUUGGAUACAUUUUACUGAUGUUUCCAUUUGUUGGUAAGACUGAGUACAAGAACAAGGAGUUUUGGAAUAUCAUAACUAUAUAGGCUUUAAAUUUGUUGUGAUAAGGGCACGUCUGUUCCUUCUUUUCCCCUAUCUUCCUGGAAACACAAUUGACAAUUGAUAUUGUGGCGAUUCUUGGUUGUUGAUCAAAUAUAGAAUUCAGGUGAGGAAGUCAAUGUGCGGUAUCAAGCAAGUACUCACUGAAAGAGCGAUUGAAGAACCAGAUCCCAGGAGAUCUGCUGAGAUGAAGAGGAUGAUAAAUGCUCUGUGAUGAUUUCCAGCUUGUGAUGUUCCAAAAAUUCUGUAUUGGUUAUGCUGGUGGAAUGCAAUGCGACAUUGUUUUUCUGUGCAGCUUCUUUUCACUCACUGAUAUCACCUUUAAGGAGUAAAUGGACAAACUUCCAUCUACAUGUGAAUUUAAGUACUACUUGGUUCUUGCUGUGCUGAUUAUUGAGCGCAUGAUCAACACAUCUUGUAGCUGGUGGCUUAUGGAACAGUAGAGCAUCGAUACGUGUUCUGUUGGGGUCAAUGUUAUUUGAUUCUACUACUUUUCGUCUCUCUUGCUUUCAUUUUGAACUUUCUUCUUUGGUGGCCCUAAUUGGUGUGCAAUAUAUAUGUAUGUAUGUAUAGAUGGACACAUAUGUAUAGAUGAAUCAACUUUGUUUUUUUUUU